rnacentral:rRNA from 1 species
UACGAAGGGGGCUAGCGUUGCUCGGAAUUACUGGGCGUAAAGCGCGGGCAGGCGGUCUUGCCAGUCUGAUGUGAAAUCUCCUCGCUCAACGGGGAGCAGCCAUUGGAAACUACAAGACUGGAGUCUGACAGAGGUAGGCGGAAUUCCGGGUGGAGUGGUGAAAUGCGUAGAGAUCCGGAGGAACACCAGAGGCGAAGGCGGCCUACUGGGUCAGUACUGACGCUGAGCCGCGAAAGCCAGGGGAGCGAACGGG